CUUCCCCUUUCUGAAAGUUUCUUAUGCAGAUUCCGAGUUUUACUUCAUUUAUAUCAAUCAAUCCUGUACGAUUCUUCUUCUCUUUUUUAUUCUUUAACACCUGUAUUUCCUUGUAUUUAUUCAUUUCGUCUUACUUAUGUUACAUGUAUCGCCCGAUCCUUGUCCAAUUCCCUAUUUGGAGGAUUAUGCCACAUUAAACAUGAAGAACUUAUCAUCAUCAUCAUCACCAUCGCUUCACGCGCCGCGAGCAAGCGUGCGAAACGUGCGUUCGAAGCCGCUGAGGAAUUGCAACCAGAAGAAAGCCAGCAUGUCUACGGCAAGCUCGACGCGGAACACCAGCGUGUCGCCUCGGCUCAACUCAGACAGUGACGAGCUGGCCUGGAGCUGGCCAGCGCUCCGCACGCCGGAAGCACUCGACUACGACUACGCCGCCACAGUCACAACCGCGAGUGGUCCGUUGGUUCCGACGGCUUCAUCCUGGGGCCCCCCGUUCUGUCUGUGGGUUCCAACGGCUGCAUACUGGGGCCUCCCAUGUGAUCUGUGGGUUCCGUCGGAUGCAUCCUGGGGUCCCCCAUGCAGUACAUGGGUUUCGACGGUUGCACCCAGGUGGUUCCCGUGCUGUGCGUGGAUUCCGACUGCUGCACCCUGGGGCAUACCGUGCGUUACGUGGGUUCUGAUCGCUGUAUCCUGGGGCCUGUCGUGUGGUCCGUGGGAUCCGACGACGCAAUCUUUGGGAUGCCCAUGUGGUUCGUGGCUUCCGACGGCUCCAUUCUGGGGUCUUCCGUGCGGCUCGUUGGUUCUGACGGCUGCAUCUUGGGGUCCUCCGUGCGGACCGGCCAACGACGGGGCUCCCGUGGCCACGGAGGACACGGCGAUCGAAGUUGGCGGAGACUCAAAUCCGUAAACAGCCAGACUGCAUAAGUCUGAUUGCGGAUCGGCUAAAUUCGACGCCACCGCCACGCAUCACGUUGCAUGAGCUACGCAGCCGCAAAACGCCACGGUUUCCAAGUGCCGGCUAUAUCAACGCUCUUGUAAAAUAUUCAAAUACAAGUUGUACCGCGUA